GGUUCUUACGUUGGCCUGCCUGAGGAAGCCAUCUGGACGGAGGAAAUUUGCCUUAAACCUUGGCAAGAGAACUUUGUUCUGUUUGAACUUUGUUUAAAGCCUCAGAGUGGGUGAUCAUUUUGUUUAAACUUUCCUUAAAACAAAGAGUGGGAGAUUCCCCGCAAUUAACAACAGGAACCUUUGUCCCAUCUUAACAGAUCUGAUAGGAAAAAAAAAUGCAAGGACUGUUCUGACAUCCAUUAAUGCAGUUCAGUUAGAGGGACGGAAAGGAAGACACAAAGGAGGAAGAUUCUGCAGUCUCAGGAGAGGUUAAGUCGAUUACUGAAGGACUGAUGCUGAAGCUGAAGCUACAAUACUCUGGCCGCCUGAUUCGAAGAACCAACUCAUUGGAAAAGACCCUGAUGCUGGGCAAGAUUGAAGGCAGGAGGAGAAGGGGACGACAGAGGAUGAGAUGGUUGGAUGGCAUCACCGACUCAAUGGACAUGAGUUUAAGCAAUCUCUGGGAGUUGGUGAAGGACAGGAGAGCCUGGCAUGCAGUCCAUGAGGUCGCAGUCCAACAGUCACAAGGUCUGACUCUUUGAGUCCAAAGAGUCACACACGACUGAGCGACUGAACUGAAUAUAUAUGUGUUGAGCCCCUGAAGAUAAGGAAAAUGAAGUGCUUGUGGCUAAAGUGGAAGAUGACGCCCCCUGCUCCCCAAGGUCAGGAUUUCAAGUGUUGGACUUUCCUCAAAGGAUUGGGCAUUUCUAGGAAUCAUUUGAUAAGCACCAUAUUGUACAUGAGCAUUGUAACUCCUCAAACUGCCUCUGCGUUUCCCU
ensembl:lncRNA